ensembl:snoRNA small nucleolar RNA SNORA57
CCUCCAUUCUUGGCAUGCACGCUGUUCCUUUGUACUCGUGUGUGUAUGUUAUGGAGGAAUAACACAAGUCCAGCGCUAUGUCUUCGGUGUCAGAAUUGUUCCUGUAUUCUGGUUCUAUCCUCAAUCGCUGGCACAUCU